UGAAAUCUCGGGGCUCAACCCCGAAACUGCGUCUGAAACUGCUAGUCUAGAGUGUCGGAGGGGGAAGGGGAAUUUCACGUGUAGGGGUAAAAUCCGUAGAGAUGUGAAGGAACACCGGGGGCGAAGGCGCCUUCCUGGACGACUACUGACGCUGAGGCGCGAAAGCGUGGGGAGCAAACAGGAUUAGAUACCCUGGUAGUCCACGCCGUAAACGAUGAACACUAGUUAUUGGGGGUAUUGACUCCCUCAGUGACGCAGCUAACGCAUUAAG
rnacentral:rRNA from 1 species